CACAGAAACUAAAGAAAGCAAUCAAAUUCUGCCCUAACAGCUGGGACUUCCCAGCAGAGAAAAUAUCUCUACCUGAAAUAAUAAUAAUUAUAAUAGUUUUCCUACAUUUUACAGACCUUUUAGUUGCUGUUUACUGGACUAGAUCCAGAAGGCUUGUUUGGUCAGUAUGUUUUAUUCUAAUUCAUAGCGUAACAAGGCUGCUCAUCUUUUAAGAAAGAUAAACCUACUUCCUUCACUUUUCCUUGGAAGAAUCCCCUUCAAAUCAUAAUUACAGAAAAAUAUAGUAUAGAAAUAUGAAUAAAUUACACAGGUUUUCAGAACAGAAAAAUUGAAAAGACCUUACAGAUCACCCAGUUCAUUUCCCUGAUGAUAAACGACCGAGAGGUUGUCAUGUAAUAUAAACUCAUGUUAUGUGAAAUAGCAGUUUACUUGAAUAUUCUCCAGUCUAGUACAGAGCAUAAAAAGCCCAACCUCUUUCCAUUAUAUCAUUAGGGAUUUGACUACAGAACUUACCUCUACUGCUGCCAGAAGUACUACAUCUCCACAUUCACAUUUGUAGCAUGAAAGCACAGCAACACAGAAAAGAUAUACAGUCUGACUGCAGAGUUUGAUGGCAGUGUUAUGUCAAAGCCCAACUGUGUACAUAUAUGCGAAGGCAGGGAAAUAAACUAGAGGUACAUACAUACCAGCAGGAUUUGCUGGCUUUAGGAACAUGAAGUAUGGAUCUUCCAAGUAAGAACAACACUUACACAAAAUACACUGUCACAGCAUUAAAAAAAAAAAACAAAACAUCAGGACUAACAAUUCAUUUCACUUGAACUAAGGAGCAGUUUGAAAUAAAAAGCACCAUCAUUUCCCAUGACUAUCAUACUUCCCAAACACCAGGAGACACUGAAAUGAAACUUCUUUCAUUCUGCAGAAAAAAACAUUACUCUGGAAGCAAUCAGUGGUCAGCAGAACAUAAUAGCAGCUGACAUUUCAGGUCAAUAUGAAAGCAGUUUGGAGCCAGCCAUUUUGGAAACACUCCAGUUUGUCACUGCGUUGCUAAUGAAGGCAAUGUUACAACAUGUUUUGUUUAAUAUAAAAAAGUCAGGAUUAGGAUCAUGGGAGAAUUAUUUCCCUUUUAACUUCACCCCCCUCCAACCCUCCUUCCAAAUGCAAUUGUUCUAUUUUUAAAUAAGCUCAUUUGCUCUUAUUGUUUUCGCAUCAAGUUGGCAGCUCACCCAUCUGUCUCCCACUGUGCUUAAAAAGAUGUCAUGAUCCUGCAGUCCCAAACACAGUCCUGAUGCUUCCAGUGAGCUAAAACACAUCUGCAAUGACAGCUUUCUCUUAGGAGUGAAGCUAUUUUUGUAACAGCAACAAACUCAACACAUCCAGGGUACGAGGAUAUUCACCAGUUAACAGCAGGGAAAAAAAAAAGCUUGUAUAGAGAGAUCCUUACCUUCACCACACACCUUGUUUGGGAGAAAUAUCACAUAAAGGUGGCUGACAAACAAGGCUACCUUUAGGACCACCCUUCACCCUCAGUCCUACUGCAAUCUCUGGAGCAGCCUCUCCACUCAAGAAUGGUCCUAUUUGUUUCUCAGAUGUAUCCCAGAAAUGUCAGAUUAAACACAGCUGGAGAAUUACUUUUUUACCCCACGUCAACUAGGAAAGAGGCAGACAGUGAGCAGGUAAUGGAACCAUGCACUGAAGGUAACUUGCCUCAGGAUUGCAAACCCAGUUCUUGCAAGUGACUGAUGGACAACCCAAAUUCCACUCAAAGGACUAACAAUGUUACAGACAAAAUUAAUCUGCCUAUUAUUCUGACUUUAUUAAUCUGACUUUGGUUGCAUAAUAGCAGUGAAAUCCAAGGGAAAGAUGCAGAAACGUACCACACCACCAAUCUAGAUCCCCGGUCAUUAACCCUGCUGCCUUAGGUUUUGGCAGUGUUGGUGAGGACUGGCACUCCUCCAGAAAAUCAGCACUGCUUUUACACAAGCACAAAUGUAGCAUGAGAAGUGAUAAGCUUUCAGACCUGGCACAAUGUCCAGACCAAUUUCUGAUCCUGGAUGUAUGCACAUUGGUUACUUCAGUAGGUUCUUCAUCUUGGGACGCAGUGAAAGAGCCUGAAGACUCCUCAACUUGGUGAAAAAUAGCGAUUGAGUCACUUUGUCACCCUUAGAGAUCUUCCUUGUGAAUCAUGUCAGAGUAGAUGCACGCUUCCCAUAAGUAGGUGCUAAUAUGGUCAUUAAGAUAUUAGAAAUGGCUCCUGAGCAUCCUCUUAUCACCACAACAUACAGGGCCCUCCUAGCUGAUUAGCAGAGGGAGGAGGCUGGAGACCUGCACAGGCUGUGGUGCCAUGGGAAGUUCUACAGGCAAGGAUAUGCCACAGCCUUCCUGCAAAAUCCUCGCUGGCUGAGGAUGCUGAAGGGAGACCUAGGUAUCCCCCAGCAGGCUGGCCUUUCCCU
ensembl:lncRNA